UAUUGAUACUCGGAAACCCCCAAACCCCAAUCGAGAGACCCAUACUCGGAAACCCCCAAACCCCAAACUCAGAAACCCCAACGAAGAGACCCAAACCCAAACCUCAGUUAGCGUCGAAACCCCCAACGGAGAGACCUAAACCCACGACAGAGAUGGUCGAAUUGUUUAAAAAUAUAAGGGAGAGGAUGUUGCAUCACACAUUCUCUUUUAGUAGAUGGCUGGGAUGAAGCCUAGACGCCUCGUGUUGUGCCUCACUGCCUUCAGGUUCAUACGAAUGUGAUGGGGCUGCUAGUUAGGAUCUUUCUUUAAACCUCUUGGACUAUCCAAAAUCUCAUUUAUGUUAGCAACUCUGGUAAACUGAUCCAGCAAUCGAAUUGUCGAGAUUAUAAGUGCUUGUUGAGAUUUUUUGUUUGGUAAAAUCAAUGGGAUGAUUUUAGAAAGAAAUCCAUAGCAGCCAAUCCUUACUUUGGAAACACUAUUAGUGACGAGGGUGAGUACAAGGACAAGAAGAAGAAAGAUAUGUUGUUUGACAAUGAAUUUAGUGUUUUAUUUUAUUUGUAAUUUUUAUUAGAGUAAAAUAUUCUUUUUAGAGUGGUUAAUUAUUUACAUUCUAAAUCUAGUUAUAUAUUUUUUAAGGUCAGGACUAUUAUAUUUAUAGAUAAGACUAUAUGAUUUUUGAGUCAAGUAGUAAUGUUAUAUUUGUUUCAAAAUUUGUUUUAUUAGAUUUCUAAA